rnacentral:rRNA from 1 species
UACAGAGGGUGCAAGCGUUAAUCGGAAUUACUGGGCGUAAAGCGUGCGUAGACGGUUGCGUAAGUCAGAUGUGAAAGCCCCGGGCUCAACCUGGGAAUUGCAUUUGAGACUGCGUAGCUAGGGUGCGGAAGAGGGAAGCGGAAUUUCCGGUGUAGCGGUGAAAUGCGUAGAUAUCGGAAGGAACACCAGUGGCGAAGGCGGUUCUCUGGGCCUUACCUGACGCUGAGGAGCGAAAGCGUGGGGAGCGAACAGG